rnacentral:lncRNA from 1 species
GGAGGAUUUUUGAGACAUUCCAGGAGGGAAUAAAGCAGAAGGGAUUGGAUUGAGAGAAAAGAGAACCAUGGCCAGGUAUCCUAGAGAAAUUUUAAGGCUCAGAUUUGGGUGGUGGGGGUGGGGGGAGACAAAAGGAAUGGGCCAGUGUUCAGUCAUGCUGAUUAAUUGAAGAACUGCAUUGGGAACCCCUGCCCUUCUUUCCUCCAGCUAAACUGCUAUUAACUGAGAUAGCUUUUUCUUUAGGGUAAAACCUAAAACAAUAAAUUUUCAAGGAAACAGAUUAUCCUAUUCCCAGGGAGGCUCCUCAGUGAGGGUAUUGGGGUGCUAUAGAAAGUAGAGUAGAGGUGAAAUAAAUUUUCGCUUGGGGAAGGGAAGGAUGAGUAAUGACACCAUUCCACUCCCAGAGUAAAGCCUCCUUACUUGGGCAUGUGUAGGAAACAAUAGCUUCUGUAAGCCAUCCACAUACCUGCAGGUGCCUGCUGUUUGAGAUGCCCUGACAACUUACACAGAACCAUAGCUUCUGUUCAAAUGGCUGUCUAAUUGCUGAGGAAACUUGCUUUUCACAGCAAUCUGGAAGUUGAUGUAGUCCUUCAUAAACACAGAUGUCCAAGGAAUGUCAGACAUUUAAGGAAAACCCAACAUCCAACCCUGACAAAGAACUAUAAUUCAGGAAAUAAUUGUGAUAAUAGGAGAUAACUUAAAUUUAAAAAUUUAGUAGUACUAGACUUAUGAUAAAAUAUUUCAUCAGUGAAUCAGGCAGAGGUCCUUGUCUUACUUAACCUGCUUCUCCCAAGAUUUCUUUCCAUGUGAUGAUGGUGUCAGGAUAGAUGAAGCGGUAUGAAUUUACAUGAACAUCAACUAUAACCAAAGUCACUGGAAGAUAACUGUAGAUGUGUGGUAUAUAUGUUCCCUAUCAUGCAGGACUUACUUGGACCCUUCUACAAAAUUCAGAUUCUUUCUCCUCUCAACUUUGCUACUCAAACUCCUCCCCUGCUUUUCUCCAGACCUUGCUGUAUGGGGAACUACCUAGUGAAGAGCAGAAUUUGCCACCUCUAAAUAUGCCUUUUAGGUCUAAAAAGUAUUUUAGGCUGAUUACUUUUCUUAAAAAAAAAAACAAAAACUAUAGACAUGGGAGACGCUCUGAAAAACAAGAGGAUGUUGUUUUUGUAAAAGAUAUUUAUAUUUGAAAGGAAUAUCUCAAUUUGUAAGGGUGUCUCCCCUUGUACUAGGAAGAGGAAGAUAACUAAAUCACUAGAAACUCUGAUGAAUGGAGAAGACGUGGACUUAAACCUGUGUAAUAACCUUACUCUUCUUUACUGUGCUUUACCUGAAAAUCUUCCAUAACUGGCUCCCCCAACCAUAACAUCUUUUGUCUUUCUUUGGAGAUGGUUGGGCCAUUUUGGAAAGUUACUCAGUUUUCCUGAGUGUCUCACAUGUAUACUGGAGGUAUACAUGUUAUUAAAUAUCUUUGUUUUUUUUUUCCUGUUAAUCUGGUUUUUUUAUUUUUAUUUAUUUUUAUUUUUUUUAUUACAGGGUGAAGGAUGGGGAAAGAGGAGUCUCAGUCAAGAACCUAGAGAGGAAGAGGGAAAAUUAUUUUUACUCCUCCAUGCUAGAUAAUUUGUUGUGCAGUCCUAUUUAUUGUUAUUCAUUAUAAUAAUAGGGUGCCAGUGCUUACAUUCUAGUGGAAGGAGACCUGCAAUAACCACAACAAAUAAGUAAAUUACUAUGUUAGGUGAUAAACUCUACAGAAAAAAUGUAGCACGGAGGAGGGAUAUGGGAUAUUGAGAGGGCAGGCAGAUCAAGCAAUUUUCAACAGGAUGGCCAGUGCAGGCCUCACUAAGGUGAAUCUGCGCAGGUUUGAGUUAUUUGCUUGGAAGAUGGAAGCAUGUGUGACAAGUUCUAGGAACAGCAAAGAAGCCAGUGUAGCUAGAGGUCAGUGAACAAGGAGAGUAGCUAGACAUGAGUUUAUAAAUGUGGUGAGGAUUAGGAGCAUAUCACAUAGGGCUUUUGCCUUUUAUAAAGAAGUUGGCCUUGCAAUGUGAUGUGAUAACUGAGUUAUGAACAAAUAAAUGACUUUAUCUUCCAUACAUGUUAGAUCAUUUUAGCACUGUGUUGAUA